UAAGGGUCGCAACUGGCGUUCGUGGUGGAGUUCCAUCGGGGAGCGACAACCUGCACGUCGAAUCGGCCGUACGCCUGGGCCGAGAAG
rnacentral:ncRNA from 1 species